UACGAAGGGGGCUAGCGUUGCUCGGAAUCACUGGGCGUAAAGGGUGCGUAGGCGGGUCUUUAAGUCAGGGGUGAAAUCCUGGAGCUCAACUCCAGAACUGCCUUGAUACUGAAGAUCUUGAGUUCGGAGAGGUGAGUGGAACUGCGAGUGUAGAGGUGAAAUUCGUAGAUAUUCGCAAGAACACCAGUGGCGAAGGCGGCUCACUGGCCCGAUACUGACGCUGAGGCACGAAGCGUGGGAGCAACAGG
rnacentral:rRNA from 1 species